CCUUUAAAGCAGAGCAUUUUCUCUGUGGCUGGUAGAAGAGGAAGUCAGAGAUUGAAUGGGUGAGAGGGAUUCAAUGGGAACAGAGAACAGAGGUUCUCAUUGCUGAGAUGGCAGGGGUCAUAGGGCAAAGACCAGAGAAGCCACUAGGAGCUAAGAACAGGCCCGACCAGCAGUCAGAAAGGAAACAGGGACCUCAGGCCUGCGGCUGCAAGGAACUGAACGCUGCCAACUACCUGAUAUCCCAAAGCCAGGAGAAUCAUUGCAUCUGGAUGAAAUCUUGAUGGCUUCCUAGGAAGGGUGUGGAGGAGAAAGGCCAUCCAUGUGCCCCACUGAGCAUGCCAGGGCCACUGAUGGCUCCUGCGUGUAUAGGAGCACCACACUCUGAGCAGCAUCUGCCUGAGGGAGAGGCAUGGGACUGGACAACUGAGGGUCUGUGGCAGCUGUCAAGCAUCUCAGUAACUCUGGCUGGAGGAUGAGGCCUGACUUUACAUAAGCCCCUGUCACGGACUUGCUGGAGUGUUACCUCUUUGAAGCCUCACUCCUGCCCAUUAGGAAGCUGCUGCAGUCCUGACUCCUGCGUCACAGCUGCGAAGCAGAGAUGGCCACUUUGGACCAUGAGAAAUAUCAAUAUCAAACGCCCUUUCUUUUCAAGCCCUCAUCUUCCUCACCCAGUGUCAGCUCAUAUCAGGGGCCCCUGAGCUUCCUGGAAGGUCACCUUACCAGUCCUCUGCAGGACCGAGGCUGUGUGGACGGAGGCUGUGUGGACGGAGAUCCCACCAUCACCGAGUUCAGGCAAGUCCCAUGAGGGUCUCAGCUCCUCAUCCGUAACAUCAGGAUGAUAAAGCCUCCCUCGCAGGAUGGCCGUGCGAGUGCCCACAUCCCAGGAGAAAGCUGGCAAAUGGGCAUUCCCUGCCCCAUCCCUUCCUACCUGCACGGAAAAGGAGAGAUGGCCCAGCCUCAGGUCAUCAGGACCCUUGAGCCAACCCUGCAUCUCAGCCCUGACUCCCACCCAGAAUGCCGGCCUUCCUCACCAAGGGUCUGACUGACACCUCUGCGAUGCUCAUCACUAGUCACUUGGGAUUCCCUGGUGAUAUGGUUUGGCUGUGUCCCCACCCAACUCUCAUCUUGAAUUGUAGUUCCCAUAAUCCCCAUGUGUCAUGGGAGGGACGGGGUGGAGAUAAUUCAAUCAUGGAGCGGUUUCCUCUGUCCUGUUCUCAUGAUAGUGAGCUAGUUCUCACGAGAUCUGAUUGUUUUAUAAAGGGCUUUCUUCGCUGGGCACUCAUUCUCUCUCCUGCCAUCAUGUGAAGAGGGUCUUUGCUUCCCCUUUACUUUCCAUCAUGAUUGUAAGUUUCCUGAGGUCUCCCCAGCCAUGCGGAACUGUGAGUCAAUUAAACCUCUUUCCUUUAUAAAUUA